UAGCAGGACAUCCACUGUUCCAGUAUGGUA
rnacentral:piRNA from 1 species